rnacentral:rRNA from 1 species
UACGUAGGCAGCGAGCGUUGUUCGGAGUUACUGGGCGUAAAGGGUGUGUAGGCGGCUCCCUAAGUUUGGUGUGAAAUCUCCCGGCUCAACCGGGAGGGUGCGCCGAAAACUGGGGGGCUAGAGUGCGGGAUGGGAAAGUGGAAUUCCUGGUGUAGCGGUGAAAUGCGUAGAUAUCAGGAGGAACACCGGUGGUGUAGACGGCUUUCUGGACCGUAACUGACGCUGAGACACGAAAGCGUGGGUAGCAAACAGG